ACCGUAGCGACUGUUGCGCUGGCGGCUGCGGGCCCGGCACUAUCCUAGCAGCACCAUGUAUAAUGAACAUUCACUAUGAAGAGGAGGAAGAAGAACAAAUGCACAAUGGAUGUCGUGGUACAUGCCUGUAAUCCCAGCGCUUGAGAGACAGAAACAGGAUUGCUUGGAAUUUGAGGCCACUCAGGCCUAUACAGCAAGGCCCUGUCUCCUAAAAACCAACUAAAAACAAACCAAACAGCAAAAAAGAAAUAUCUGCAGACAUUGGUGUGUAUGUGCCACAGCUUGGUGUGGAAGUCAGAAGACAAGUUGAAGAAGUCACUUCUCUCCUUCCUCCUCAUAUACCUGGAAUCAAACUCAGGUAGCCAGUGCCUGUCCUUCAUUUGCUGACAUCUGGUGGCCCUUAAUUAGAUCUUAAACAAUGUUACCAAUUAAGACUAUAAGGAGCUAGCUGUGGUGGCGCACACCUAUAAUCCCAGCACUCAGGAGGCAGAAGCAAGGGGAUCUCUGUGAGUUCGAGGCC